rnacentral:lncRNA from 1 species
GUUCAUGGAAGGUCCGAAUGCUGCAGAGAGCUUGAUAGGUCACCUGUGCUAGCAUGCAGAUCAGCCAAGGAUGCUUUAAAAGAAGAAGUGUGCCCUCCAUCAUGUAAAAAGACCCUAUGGUGGAUUAAUGUAAGAUUCUAAGUAAAAAUAUUCGUUCAGUUACAGCCAUAACUAAAACAGAAUUCAGACUAGCUUUAAUUCUACUAAUUAGAAUUUUAAUCAAAUACUUAUUGAUACAGUUUGAAUGCACAAUCCUGCCAAAUCUCAUGUUGAAUUGUAAUCUCCAGUGUUGGAGGUGGGGCCUGGUAAGAGGUAUUUGGAUCCUGGGGGCGGAUCCCUCAUAAAUGGCUUGGGUCAUCCCCUUGGUAAUGAGUGAGCUCUCUCUCUGAGUUCACAUGAGAUCUGGUCAUUUAAAAGGGUGUGGCACCCCCCGCCCCACUCUCUCCCCUACUCCUGCUUUUGCCAUGUGAUGUGCGUGCUCCUGCUUCACCUUCCACAAUGAUUGAAAGCUCCCUGAGGCUUCAUCAGAAGCCAGGCAGAUGCCAGCACCAUGCUUCCUGUAAAGCCUACAGAACUGAGCCAAUUAGACCUCGUUUCUUUAUAAAUUAUCCAGUCUCCAUAUUUUUUUAAUAGCAAUGCAAGAACGGCCUAAAACACUUACAUCGUACUUACUGUAUGCCAGGCUCUGUACAUUAAAAAUACCUUAAAAAUAAGUACUUAAAAAUACUAACUCAGCCAGGCACGGUGGCUCACGCCUGUAAUCCCAGCACUUUGGGAGGCCGAGGCAAGCGGAUCACUUGAGGUCAGGAGUUCAUGACCAGCCUGGCCAACCCCAUUUCUACUAAAAAGUACAAAAAUUAGCUGGUGUGGUGGUGCAUGCCUGUAAUCCCAGCUAUUUGGGAGGCUGAGGCAGGAGAAUCACUUGAACCUGGGAGGUGGAGGUUGCAGUGAGCCAAGAUCGUGCCAUUGCACUCCAGCCUGGGCAACAGAGCGAGACUCCGUCUCAAAACAAAAACAAAAAAAUUAACUCAUUCAAUCUUCAUAUAACAACCCUAUGUAUUUGAGUACUCUUUUGGGCACAUGGUAAAUAAAUCUCCUUUUUAUCUCACCAAUCCAGUCCAGUUCCUAAUGGAUGCUAGAGCCAAACCAUGAACACAAAUCCCAUUUGUGCUCCGAAGCAAUCCUACACCACGUUUUGAAAAUUAAUCAAAAUAUUUGAAAGCAAAACGUCCUAGUCAAUAUAAUCUGUACUUUUUCUAAAAUAGCUGAACCAGUAAAUAAAAAUAAUCUUGUUUCCUUGCUACUAGUAACUUCUCUCCUCAAGCUACCUUCAGUCCUAGAAGGGACAAAGUUGACAUUUACUGAACACUUAUUUUAAGCCAGAACAUGCCUCCCUGUACCCCCUCCCCACUUAACAUUUUAGCGGUAAGCCUGAGGCUCACAGAGGUUCAGCAAAGGAAUUACGGUCUUAAUGCUGGUAAGUGGAAGACAGAGAAUCAAGCCCUAUCAGUCUGAGGCCUUCUUCACUGUGGGACCUUGGUUGUUUCUCUUUGCAUAUCUAACACUUAGGAAAUGUGCAACACAUAUUUGUUAAAGAAAUGAAGGAAUGAACAGAUUCCCGUCUUGGUGACUGUAAUUUAACACUUUCAAUAGAUUACUCUGCAGCCAUCUUUCUUUUUUUAUAUAUUUAUAUUUAUUUAAUAAAUUCUCUAUUUUUGGACAUUUAGGGCAGCUAGAGGUAUUAUUGUAGAUAUUGCUGAGAUGAAUGUCCCUCUGACAAUUGUCUGAUUAUUUUCUUUUUUGAAAUUUUACUUUAAGUUCUGGGAUACAUGUGCUGAACGUGCGGGUUUGUUACAUAGGUAUACAUGUGCCAUGGUGGUUUGCUGCACCUAUCAACCUGUCAUCUAGGUUUUAAGACCCGAAUGCAUUAGGUGUCUGUCCUAAUGCUCUGCCUCCCCUUGUCCCCCACCCCUUGACAGGCCCCGGUGUGUGAUAUUCCCCUCCCUGUAUCCAUGUGUUCUCAUUAUUCAGCUCCCACUUAUGAGUGAGAACAUGUGGUGUUUGGUUUUCUGUUCCUGUGUUAGUUUGCUGAGAAUGAUGGUUUCCAGCUUCAUCCAUGUCUCUGCAAAGGACAUGAACUCAUCCUUUUUUAUGGCUGCAUAGUAUUCUAUGGUGUAUAUGUGCCACAUUUUCUUUAUCCAGUCUAUCAUUGAUGAGCAUUUGGGUUGGUUCCAAGUCUUUGCUAUUGUAAACAGUGCUCUGCAGCCAUCUUUCUAAAAUACAACUCUGACCCACUAAUGACUGGUUAGAUAAAAAUCAUCACCACCACCCCUGAAACGACAACUCUUUAUCUUACAGGAAUUGCAGACUUCCAGAAGCCCUAGCACCAUGUUUUUCAUACUGCAGCUUGUGACUGGUUAGGUCUUUACGUUGUCAUUUUUGUAAAUAAAAUGGAAUAAAUAGAAAAGUAUCUUGCAGGGCAGUUAGGUAAUUAUUUUGAGAAGUUCUUGUGUGUGCACUGGAAACCACGGACAAUGUCUUCCUCACUGUGGGUCACAGGCAAGUUUGGAAACCACUGCUUUAGCACACUGAGUCCCUCUGGACACUCUUUGACUUCUCUGUUUUUGUAUAGCUUUUCUCCUCAACUGGAAGGUUCUUCCCUUUUCUAUGCCUGGGGAGCUUCUAGUCAUCUUUCAAGUCCUAAUUUAAAUGUGUUAGUCACUCCGUGCUCACUCAUUCUUUCCUCUGGUGGGCAUCUGUUCCCAUCGCGGGGUAGGUAGGUAGUUUUUCGUUUGCUGGUCUCCUCUCAAGCUGUGGUUAAAGGCAGGGAACAUGCCAUUUUUAUUUUUGUCAUUCAAAUGCCCAUAACAGAGUUUGAUCUAUAGAACAGACUCUAAAAUGCUUACUAUAUUAUAGAACCCUGUAAUUAAUUUUUAUUGAACAUACAUUUAAUCCAUAUGUUUUCUACGUUUUUUUUUAAGAGACAGGGUCUUGCUCCACUGCCCAGCCUGCAGCACAGUAGCGUGAUCACGGCUCACUGCAUCCUCGAACUCCUGGGCUCAAGCAAUCUUCCCCCCUCAACCUCCCAAAGUGCUGAAAUUACAGGUGUGAGCCAACACACCUGGUCCCAAUUUCUAAUUAUUGUCAUAUGCAGAUUUUUAAAAGCAACAUCAUUCCUAUGUUAAUGCUUAAAAACAGUGAAAAGUGUUAAGACAACUCACGUCCAUUGACCGUGAUGCUGGGGUCUGUUCUGAACAAGAUGAACAGUAUGCAACAUGAUUAUGAUGCAAUAUGCUCCUAGUUUUUCCCAAUGUGGAUACAAUCUCAUUUAAAUCAACAAUGCCAUCAGGAGCAGAUUUCAGAAGAUCCAUACAGACCUGGCAAGGUGGCUCACGCCCGUAAACCCAGCGCUUUGGGAAGCCGAGGUGAGAGGAUUGCCUGAGCCCAGGAGAUUGAGACCAGCCUGGCCAACACAACAAGAUUCCGUUUCAAAAAGAAAGAAGACCCAUACACAUUUUAUUACAAAGAGCAAUGCAUCAAAAGGAGGCUUAUUAACUCCUGGUGGAAUAAAGCAGAACACAAAGAUUAGUAAAACUUAAAUGCUUUGAUUUCAACUAAAUUUCUCUCUUUAUAAACAGGCAUCAAUGGGGAUUUAAAGGAAACAAGCCAUAUACGACUUGGAUUAAAUCGGAAAAUAAUUUUCCCCCAUCAAUUUUGCUGUGUUCUUUAGAUUUUCAUUUAGUCAUUUACUUUUCCAGCUGCCUUUGGGAACACCUAGAAUUCUAGAAGAAAUGUGCAAAGUAGCUCAGUUCCUAAUGUGACAGAGGGUGGGUGGUUUUCUUUUCUUUCCACCUCCACCGCACCGUGGGUGCUGCGCUUCAUGACUGAAAUGCUACAGAAAUGCUUGGGAACAGCCCCCAGCCUCGACCACACAACCACUUCAUGUGUGAGCUUCGCGGUUCUGUGUUGAGACACGUUCUGCUUCAAGACCAGUGGGUUUGCAUUCUUGGCACAAAAUUUCAGGACAGUAUAAGCACUUGAUGUUGCCACCUUUGUAGACACCACUGCCAGGUUUUAACCUGGCAAGUUAAAAGACUGUAAGGUUUUAACUUCUCUCACUAUAGUUUCAGGCUAUAAAUAGAGGAGAACUAGGUAGGUGCUAUUCCCUCAGCAUGUGUGUGCACUGACUACAGUCGCAAAGAAAACGGAAGGUGACCUUGAGGACGAAAGGGCCAUAAAUCGCGACGGCAAAUUAUUGUACUAAAUAAAGGAGAAUGAAGCUGAGGAAAACAGUAGUACAUCCAGGUGAGGCUGGUCUGUAUUUACAGAAGUCAAAUCAUGUGACAAAAUGUACCAUCUAAGAAACAAAUAUUCCAGUUAUCAACUUGGACUUGCAAUCAUCUUGGACGCAGAUCUCAAUUUAGUAUCACAGAAUAUGAAAACUAAAAAGGAAUUUGGCCAGGCUCGGUGGCUCAUGCCUGUAAUCCCAGCACUUUGGGAGGCUGAGGCGGGCGGAUCACCUGAGGUCAGGAGUUUGAGACCAGCCUGGCCAACAUGGUGAAACCCCGCCUCUAUUAAAAACACAAAAAAUUAGCUGGGUGUGGUGGCUGGCGCCUGUAAUCCCAGCUACUCAGGAGGCUGAGACAGGAGAAUUGCUUGAACCCAGGAGGCGGAGGCUGCAGUGAGCUGAGAUCACGCCACUGCAUUCCAGCCUGGGCAGCAGAGUGAAACUCCAUCUCAAAUAAUAAUAAUAAUAAUAAUAAAUAAAUAAAUAAAUAAAUAAAAACAAAAAGGAAUUUUACAAUUAUAAUUUUAUAAUUUAUAUUUGUAAGAUGUAUCUAACAUCAUAGCCAGGGACAGAGCUGGGACUGCCACCCCAUGGGGCCAUGAUGGGCAGGAAGCGAAUGCUUGGUGUUUAUUCUCUCUCAGAUCCAAGUCCGCCCUUCUAGUUUCUAUUCUGUGAUCCUGGGACUGGCUCUCUGCAAACCCAUUUCCUGUAUUCCCUUGCUAGCUGGUAAGUUCUGACACUAGGAGGCAAUGGUAAGAGAGUGGAAAGCGGGAGGAGGAGGAACUUUUCUUCCUUUUUCUAGUUCCCGUCUGUGUCCCUACAGCAAUAGAAGAUUGUGAUGGCUCCAGUUUCCAGAUUGUUUUGGCAGCUCAAGUAUGUGGCUGUAUCCGUCCGGGGUGGCACACCAGCUGUGCCAUCCCCCAAUCAGAGGAUUGGGCCCCAGACAUUUGGUGGGUGUCUCCUUCCCCACUGGAAGUCCAAGCACUGUGGUGGCAUCUCCUCCGAGGUCUAAGUGCCAGCCGCGUGGGGACCUCUCCUAUGAGCCCCUACGUUACGGUAUCCCUACUUUUUCCUAGGGGUGGUAGUCACUUCCUGAAUUUGUUUUUAUUUUUUAAAUAACUGCUCCUUGAGGAGCAGGGCUAACUCAUAAGCAGUGUACCCAGAGUCGGCCCCUGAAUGUAUUCAUAUCUUACCUCAAUAUCCCCUUUCUGCUUCUUAGCCUUCCAACAUCUGAGUAACCCAUUUCCUGUCUUCACUCACCUCUGCUGUAAUACCUACAACGGUUUUCUUACUGGACCCUGACUGAUACAGACCUUGCUAUCAAAAGUGCAUUUACUGCCCCCUUGGCACACGUAUGUCUUACGAAGACAUCUGGGGUACUUGCUCCUUCCUGCUCGACAGGUCCAACGUCACAGAACAGUGUGAUGUCCUGAGGAGGCUCAAAAGAAUCAAGAUCCCUGCAGACCAGAUUAUGGCAAGAACAGAAAAAAUCACAUGGCCAGGGUAUUACGCUGACUUCUUGAGAGCAAGGACUUCUUUCUCACCAAGUUGAUUCAUUUAGAUUUGAUAUAUAAAAAUCACAUGAAUUCAUUUUGUUAACAAGAAUGUGAUCCAAAAAUGUCUUUUUCAAGUCAAUGCUAUUCUUCAGCAGCAUCUGUUUAAUUGAAAGCAAGUGAAGAAAUCUGAAUAAUCGUGAAUUCUCUGCCAGAUGGCAAUCAUCACCCAAAUUUGUGUUAGGCACCCAUUAUACGAGUAGCAAAUAAAUGCAUUCAGAGGGUCACUUUUCAUUGAGCGACUAGUGCUUCAACUUUGCCCAUCAUAAGCAACUGUCAACAGUUCCGAGUGAGCCGAAGGCAUUUAUGACACUAGUUUGUGAGGCUAUCUUGACUGCAUUAUUCUUUCCCUCACUGACCUGCGGCAGAGACUGCUAGUUGUCCCCAGACAUAUUAGUUAAGAUGGGCUAAGUCAUGUUGCAGUAAAAAUUAACUUCAAAUAAAUCUCAGUGCUUUGAUACAGUUCAUGUUGCAUGUAGAUUGGCAGAGGCUCCAUUCCCAUUCAGUCUCUGAGGGAUCCACGUCAGUGGAGGCUGCAGUGCCUUGUAGCUACAUCUGGAACCUGUGGCUUCCUUGGCUGCCUUGGCAGGGGAGAGCUACUGGAGACUAUAAUCUUGUCACCACGUGUCACCUCCCGUCAUAGCCAACUGGCUAGAACACACCAGAUGGCCUCACUAAUAGGUUCCAUCUUUUGGUUCCCAGAAGGGGAGGGGAACCAGAACUUGAUAGACACUUGAGUAUCUACCAUAUCCAGUUCCUAUUCUUCCCUUCUUGAAUAGCAACAGAAUUCUCGGUCGUUAGCUGGGCACGUGGCUGUCCCUCCCUCCUCUAAACACGACAUUUCUAAGUCUAAGUGGCUAAACUGUGACCAAUGGAUGUCAGUUAAAAGUGUGGUCACAACCUGCUGGAAGUGUCCUUAAGGACAGGAAUUGUACCCUUCUUCUCCUUCUUCAUCCUUCCUGCUGGCUAGCAUGUAAAUAAUACGUACUAUUAUGGGGUGGGCUCCAGCAGCUCCCUUGGAUUUUGAAGUGACCUUGGGAAUGGAAGCCAAGCAUGAAGAACCAAUACCUGGAAGGGGCCUUGGUUCCUGACCUCUUGGAGAACAAUACCAACUCGGGACUGUCUCCUUCCUAAAUGUGUGAGAGAAAUAAACUUCUGUCUUGUUUAA